UUUGUUUUCCCUCCAUCCAUGUUCAUAUGCUUGCCUCAUGUUUUUUUUUUAUUUUUUCUUUCACUUCAUAAAUUCAUAACUAAUUGAUAAAUGAUUCAAAAAAUAUGGGAAUUUUUGAAUUGUUUUCCUUAUUGUGUCUAGUUUUUUUUGAUUAUUUUUCCCUAAAUUGUGCUUGGCUGAAAAUUUAUUUUGCCUAGGGUUUGUGUACAUGCAUGCUUUCUUG
rnacentral:lncRNA from 1 species